AGAGUUUGAUCCUGGCUCAGGACGAACGCUGGCGGCGUGCUUAACACAUGCAAGUCGAACGCUGAAGCUCAGCUUUUGUUGGGUGGAUGAGUGGCGAACGGGUGAGUAACACGUGAGUAACCUGCCCCCUUCUUUGGGAUAACGCCCGGAAACGGGUGCUAAUACUGGAUAUUCACUGAUCUUCGCAUGGGGGUUGGUGGAAAGGUUUUUUCUGGUGGGGGAUGGGCUCGCGGCCUAUCAGCUUGUUGGUGGGGUGAUGGCCUACCAAGGCUUUGACGGGUAGCCGGCCUGAGAGGGUGACCGGUCACAUUGGGACUGAGAUACGGCCCAGACUCCUACGGGAGGCAGCAGUGGGGAAUAUUGCACAAUGGGCGCAAGCCUGAUGCAGCGACGCCGCGUGAGGGAUGAAGGCCUUCGGGUUGUAAACCUCUUUCGUCAGGGAACAAGGCACUGUCUUUUUGGUGGUGUUGAGGGUACCUGGAUAAGAAGCGCCGGCUAACUACGUGCCAGCAGCCGCGGUAAUACGUAGGGCGCGAGCGUUGUCCGGAAUUAUUGGGCGUAAAGGGCUUGUAGGCGGUUGGUCGCGUCUGCCGUGAAAUCCUCUGGCUUAACUGGGGGCGUGCGGUGGGUACGGGCUGACUUGAGUGCGGUAGGGGAGACUGGAACUCCUGGUGUAGCGGUGGAAUGCGCAGAUAUCAGGAAGAACACCGGUGGCGAAGGCGGGUCUCUGGGCCGUUACUGACGCUGAGGAGCGAAAGCGUGGGGAGCGAACAGGAUUAGAUACCCUGGUAGUCCACGCUGUAAACGUUGGGCACUAGGUGUGGGGGCCACCCGUGGUUUCUGCGCCGUAGCUAACGCUUUAAGUGCCCCGCCUGGGGAGUACGGCCGCAAGGCUAAAACUCAAAGGAAUUGAC
rnacentral:rRNA from 1 species